rnacentral:lncRNA from 1 species
CAGUAAAAAUUUUUUUUACUGUUCAUCCCUGCUCUGGCUAUAGACUCUCAGAGUCAUCAUCCUAUAAGAUCACAUAGGAUGUUCUCUCCUCCUACAAGGAGUGAUUGAUUCCUUAUUGACCACUCACAACCUUUAUUCACACUUUACCAUACCUAAAAUAUCCUACACAUAUUUCAAAAUAGCAUGCUAGAGAAUAAACCAAAGUAAGG